rnacentral:lncRNA from 1 species
CCUCGCACUGUUGCCCUCCCCGAUAUAUAUAGUGGAGCGUAGUAUGGCGCCGUUAUUAAUGGCGUAGACAAUUGAAGAAUUGUCAACUCGCCGUAGACCGUCAGAGUCGCCGUGAAAAUGUCACAUCGCCGUGGGACUGUCAAAUCAUUAGGAUUGACAAUGCCCUAGGUGGGAGAAUGCCCUUAGACGGCAGUGCCGCAUACUGUUGUCAGGGCUGACAGUCUUCGACAGCUGCACAGCGAUCGGAGAAGUCGACCGACCC